GUCUCNUUGNUGUUUUAAUAUAAAGAGUUUAACCUNACCCGGNGAUGUAUAUUUAACGGCCGCAGUACUUUGACUGUGCAAAGGUAGCAUAAUUAUUUGCCUUGUAAUUGAAGGCUUGUAUGAAUGGUUUGACGAAAAUAAAUCUGUCUUAAUUUAAUUUUUUAAAAUUUAACUUUUAAGUGAAGAGGCUUUUAUUCUAUUAAUAGACAAGAAGACCCUGUCGAGCUUAAAUUUUUAUUAAUAAAUAUAUAAUUUUAGAUUGUUUUUAGAUUUUAGUUGGGGUGACUGAGGAAGUAUAUUAGUUUCCUUAAUUAUUUUUGAGUUUAUUAAUUUUGAUCCAUUUUUAAUGAUUGGUAGAAUUAGUUACCGCAGGGAUAACAGCAUAAUCUUUUUUGAGAGUUCAUAUCGAAAAAUGGGUUUGUGACCUCGAUGUUGGAUUAAAGUGUCCUGAGGGUGCAGAAAUUUUUAAGGGUUAGUCUGUUCGACUAUUAAAACUUU
rnacentral:rRNA from 1 species